UACGAAGGGGGCUAGCGUUGCUCGGAGUCACUGGGCGUAAAGCGCACGUAGGCGGAUCUUUAAGUCAGGGGUGAAAUCCUGGAGCUCAACUCCAGAACUGCCUUUGAUACUGGGGAUCUCGAGUCCGGAAGAGGUGAGUGGAACUCCGAGUGUAGAGGUGAAAUUCGUAGAUAUUCGGAAGAACACCAGUGGCGAAGGCGGCUCACUGGUCCGGUACUGACGCUGAGGCACGAAAGCGUGGGGAGCAAACAGG
rnacentral:rRNA from 1 species